GAUGAACGCUGGCGGCGCGCCUAACACAUGCAAGUCGAACGGCACCCACCUUCGGGUGGAAGCGAGUGGCGAACGGCUGAGUAACACGUGGAGAACCUGCCCCCUCCCCCGGGAUAGCCGCCCGAAAGGACGGGUAAUACCGGAUACCCCGGGGUGCCGCAUGGCACCCCGGCUAAAGCCCCGACGGGAGGGGAUGGCUCCGCGGCCCAUCAGGUAGACGGCGGGGUGACGGCCCACCGUGCCGACAACGGGUAGCCGGGUUGAGAGACCGACCGGCCAGAUUGGGACUGAGACACGGCCCAGACUCCUACGGGAGGCAGCAGUGGGGAAUCUUGCGCAAUGGGGGGAACCCUGACGCAGCGACGCCGCGUGCGGGACGGAGGCCUUCGGGUCGUAAACCGCUUUCAGCAGGGAAGAGUCAAGACUGUACCUGCAGAAGAAGCC
rnacentral:rRNA from 1 species